rnacentral:tRNA from 3 species
GGAUGGGUGGCCGAGUGGUCGAAGGCAACGGUCUUGAAAACCGUCGUAGGGGAGACUCUACCGUGGGUUCGAAUCCCACCCCAUCCGC